ensembl:lncRNA
GUCUAUUACAUGCUCUACCGUGAUAUCAGGUUGGAGUGCCAUGCCAGGUCUAGUUUAUGUAUACCAGGGAAACCAUUGAAAACACAGUGUAUGCAGUUCCUGAGGUUAUCCGAACAACACCACCCAUGGAACAGAGUCCAAUCAGUGAUACUUCUCCAACAUCCACCUAUAGCUUUGUGAGACCUCACUCUGGACCCAACAGAUCCACUGAGGCCAGAAGCAAAGCUUUGCCCGAGAGCUUGUAUGCCCAGGUAGAAAUUCAUCCCAGAUCCUAAAAUCUCUUCAGAAAGCUUGAAACCUGGAUCCCCCGUAGCCGGUUACCAAGAUUACGUGAAGUACCCUCAGAAGGUCUACUCGAUGAUGUUAAUGCAGCACUAUGGAUGAUACCUACAGCCACGCUUACCGAGACUAACAAGCUGAUCUACAAUACGGCAGCAGUGAUCAGUGAGAUGCUUGUGAGACUGCUUUGAACAGCACACGAAGGACCUUCAUCUGGUGGUUCUUCUUCUCCUUUAGUUUGCACCGAAACACUUUCCCUCUGCUUGGAGUGGAUAUAUAAGAUUGUGGGGUGUUUCUGAUUACAGACCUUACGUUUCUAUGGAGAACCACAAGAG